rnacentral:sRNA from 1 species
UCGGUUUGGAAUACAGACCUUAUGAAAGCAGUUUUAGUAAAGCAGUCCUCAGUUCAAGUGUUAUCCAAAGAUACCCUUCUUCGUGAGCCUCCUCCUAAGCGCCCCAUAAGUAAUUCUCAGGCCAUCUCUGCCGCUUUUAGUGGCUCAUAAAUUAAGGAAAUAUCUAUGUCUAACAAAAUGACUGGUUUAGUAAAAUGGUUCAACUCUGACAAAGGUUUCGGCUUCAUCACUCCGGACGACGGCAGCAAAGAUGUAUUCGUACACUUCUCUGCAAUUCAGAGCGACAGCUACAAAACUCUCGACGAAGGCCAGAAAGUCUCUUUCACCAUUGAAAAUGGUGCUAAAGGCCCUGCUGCCGGCAACGUCACCGCGCUGUAAGACGCGCCC